rnacentral:tRNA from 1 species
GGAGAUUACGUCAAAAGGAUUGGCAUCUGAUUUCGACUCAGACUAAUGAGGCUCAAUUCCUCAAAUCUCUUAAU